rnacentral:rRNA from 1 species
AGGUUUGAUCCUGGCUCAGAUUGAACGCUGGCGGCAUGCCUUACACAUGCAAGUCGAACGGCAGCAUGAUCUAGCUUGCUAGAUUGAUGGCGAGUGGCGAACGGGUGAGUAAUACAUCGGAACGUGCCCUGUAGUGGGGGAUAACUAGUCGAAAGAUUAGCUAAUACCGCAUACGACCUGAGGGUGAAAGUGGGGGACCGCAAGGCCUCAUGCUAUAGGAGCGGCCGAUGUCUGAUUAGCUAGUUGGUGGGGUAAAGGCCCACCAAGGCGACGAUCAGUAGCUGGUCUGAGAGGACGAUCAGCCACACUGGGACUGAGACACGGCCCAGACUCCUACGGGAGGCAGCAGUGGGGAAUUUUGGACAAUGGGCGAAAGCCUGAUCCAGCAAUGCCGCGUGUGUGAAGAAGGCCUUCGGGUUGUAAAGCACUUUUGUCCGGAAAGAAAUGGCUCUGGUUAAUACCUGGGGUCGAUGACGGUACCGGAAGAAUAAGGACCGGCUAACUACGUGCCAGCAGCCGCGGUAAUAC